rnacentral:rRNA from 1 species
CGAGCACUCUAGACGAACUGCCGUUGACAAAACGGAGGAAGGUGGGGAUGACGUCAAAUCAUCAUGCCCCUUAUGUUCUGGGCUACACACGUGCUACAAUGGCCGGUACAGACGGAGGCGAAGCCGCGAGGCGGAGCAAAUCCGAAAAAGCCGGUCUCAGUUCGGAUUGCAGGCUGCAAUUCGCCUGCAUGAAGUCGGAAUCGCUAGUAAUCGCAGGUCAGCAUACUGCGGUCGAAUACGUUCCCGGGCCUU